UACGUAGGUGGCAAGCGUUAUCCGGAAUUAUUGGGCGUAAAGCGCUCGCAGGCGGUUUCUUAAGUCUGAUGUGAAAGCCCACGGCUCAACCGUGGAGGGUCAUUGGAAACUGGUGACUUGAGUACAGAAGAGAAGAGUGGAAUUCCACGUGUAGCGGUGAAAUGCGUAGAGAUGUGGAGGAACACCAGUGGCGAAGGCGACUCUUUGGUCUGUAACUGACGCUGAGGCGCGAAAGCGUGGGGAGCAAACAGG
rnacentral:rRNA from 1 species